CACGGUCCAGACUCCUACGGGAGGCAGCAGUGGGGAAUAUUGCGCAAUGGGGGAAACCCUGACGCAGCAACGCCGCGUGAGUGAUGAAGGUUUUCGGAUCGUAAAACUCUGUCUUUAGGGACGAUAAUGACGGUACCUAAGGAGGAAGCCACGGCUAACUACGUGCCAGCAGCCGCGGUAAUACGUAGGUGGCAAGCGUUGUCCGGAUUUACUGGGCGUAAAGAGUAUGUAGGUGGGUGCUUAAGUCAGAUGUGAAAUUCCCGGGCUCAACCUGGGAGCUGCAUUUGAAACUGGGCAUCUAGAGUGCAGGAGAGGAAAGUGGAAUUCCUAGUGUAGCGGUGAAAUGCGUAGAGAUUAGGAAGAACACCAGUGGCGAAGGCGACUUUCUGGACUGUAACUGACACUGAGAUACGAAAGCGUGGGUAGCAAACAGGAUUAGAUACCCUGGUAGUCCACGCCGUAAACGAUGAAUACUAGGUGUCGGGGGGUACCACCCUCGGUGCCGCAGCAAACGCAUUAAGUAUUCCGCCUGGGGAGUACGGUCGCAAGAUUAAAACUCAAAGGAAUUGACGGGGACCCGCACAAGCAGCGGAGCAUGUGGUUUAAUUCGAAGCAACGCGAAGAACCUUACCUAGACUUGACAUCUCCUGAAUUACUCUUAAUCGAGGAAGUCCCUUCGGGGACAGGAAGACAGGUGGUGCAUGGUUGUCGUCAGCUCGUGUCGUGAGAUGUUGGGUUAAGUCCCGCAACGAGCGCAACCCUUAUUGUUAGUUGCUACUAUUAAGUUAAGCACUCUAACGAGACUGCCGCGGUUAACGUGGAGGAAGGUGGGGAUGACGUCAAAUCAUCAUGCCCCUUAUGUCUAGGGCUACACACGUGCUACAAUGGCUGGUACAACGAGCAGCAAACCCGCGAGGGGGAGCAAAACUUGAAAGCCAGUCCCAGUUCGGAUUGUAGGCUGAAACUCGCCUACAUGAAGUUGGAGUUGCUAGUAAUCGCGAAUCAGCAUGUCGCGGUGAAUACGUUCCCGGGUCUUGUACACACCGCCCGUCACACCAUGAGAGCCGGUAACACCCGAAGCCCGUGAGGUAACCGUAAGGAGCCAGCGGUCGAAGGUGGGAUUGGUGAUUGGGGUGAAGUCGUAACAAGGUAGCCGUAGGAGAACCUGCGGCUGGAUCACCUCCUUUCUA
rnacentral:rRNA from 1 species